UCGAGAAUCUUCCGCAAUGGGCGAAAGCCUGACGGAGCGACACCGCGUGCAGGACGAAGGCCUUCGGGUUGUAAACUGCUGUCACGCCAUAGGAAACCCGUAUCGUGAAUAGCGAUCCGGUCGACCAAAGCGAGAGGAAGUGGCGGCUAACUCUGUGCCAGCAGCCGCGGUAAGACGGAGGCCACGAACGUUGUUCGGAAUUACUGGGCAUAAAGCGCACGUAGGCGGCUAGGUCCGUCCGAUGUGAAAUACCCCGGCUCAACCGGGGAACUGCAUCGGAUACAGCCUGGCUUGAGGAUGGUUGGGGUGAGUGGAACUUCUGGUGGAGCGGUGAAAUGCGUAGAUAUCAGAAGGAACACCGGUGGCGAAAGCGGCUCACUGGACCAUUACUGACGCUGAGGUGCGAAAGCUAGGGGAGCAAACGGGAUUAGAUACCCACGUAGUCCCUGAGCGGGCUGGCAAGGCGCAU
rnacentral:rRNA from 1 species